rnacentral:rRNA from 1 species
GAUGAACGCUGGCGGCGUGCUUAACACAUGCAAGUCGAACGGAAAGGCCCAAGCUUGCUUGGGUACUCGAGUGGCGAACGGGUGAGUAACACGUGGGUGAUCUGCCCUGCACUUCGGGAUAAGCCUGGGAAACUGGGUCUAAUACCGGAUAGGACCACAUUUUGGAUGGUGUGGUGGAAAGUUUUUCGGUGUGGGAUGAGCUCGUGGCCUAUCAGCUUGUUGGUGGGGUAAUGGCCUACCAAGGCGUCGACGGGUAGCCGGCCUGAGAGGGUGUACGGCCACAUUGGGACUGAGAUACGGCCCAGACUCCUACGGGAGGCAGCAGUGGGGAAUAUUGCACAAUGGGCGCAAGCCUGAUGCAGCGACGCCGCGUGGGGGAUGACGGCCUUCGGGUUGUAAACUCCUUUCGCUAGGGACGAAGCGUUAUGUGACGGUACCUGGAGAAGAAGCACCGGCUAACUACGUG